UACAGAGGGGGCAAGCGUUGUUCGGAAUUACUGGGCGUAAAGGGCGCGUAGGCGGCCUGCUAAGUCGAACGUGAAAUCCCCGGGCUCAACCCGGGAACUGCGUCCGAUACUGGUGGGCUUGAAUCCGGGAGAGGGAUGUGGAAUUCCAGGUGUAGCGGUGAAAUGCGUAGAUAUCUGGAGGAACACCGGUGGCGAAGGCGGCAUCCUGGACCAUUACUGACACUGAAAAGCGAAAGCCAGGGGAGCAAACGGG
rnacentral:rRNA from 1 species